AGGCCAUAUCACGUUGAAACACCGGUUCUCGUACGAUCACGGAAGUUAAGCAACGUCGAGCGUGGUCAUUACCUCGAUGGAUGAUCGCUUGGGAAUACCAGGUGGCGUAA